rnacentral:rRNA from 1 species
CAGCAGCCGCGGUAAUACGGAGGGGGUUAGCGUUGUUCGGAAUUACUGGGCGUAAAGCGCGCGUAGGCGGACAUUUAAGUCAGAGGUGAAAUCCCAGGGCUCAACCCUGGAACUGCCUUUGAUACUGGGUGUCUUGAGUUCGAGAGAGGUGAGUGGAAUUCCGAGUGUAGAGGUGAAAUUCGUAGAUAUUCGGAGGAACACCAGUGGCGAAGGCGGUUCUCUGGGCCUUUCCUGACGCUGAGGAGCGAAAGCGUGGGGAGCGAACAG